UGGGUCAUUUCCAAACAGCAGGGCACCAGACAUGCUCUACCUUAUGAGGAGUCAUGCGCACCUACAAAAGGAUGGAGUUUCACUAUCGGCUCAAAGCAUUUUUACCUCUGAGACUUUACAAAUUGAGCAAAUAGACCACUUGGAAACCCAGCGUUCUUUUCCCCAUCCUCCAUCCAGAACUGCAGGGAUCCUAGAUAUUUUCAGACUUGCCUCAAACUUCAGCAAUGUGAUCUUUGUUGGCAGUGAAUUCAUCUGUCACAGUACAAUGGGCUUCUACCAUUUGCGCUGACUUCAAGGUAUUACAAUGGGAGCUUCUGGAGACAAUGACCCAGCUUUGCAGUCUAAUGCUUUUGUGACACUAAUAAAGAGCAUUUCAGUUAAAGGUGGUAUCAUGGCAUUAUGGUCAGAAAGCUAACAUGGCACUUUUGUUUAGGACUGGCCUCCCAAAAGAAAACAUGUGAACCGAGCAAUUGUUAUUACGAUAUGAAAUAUCCCAGCUUACUAGUAGAACAUAAUUAAAUGUAGCCUACAGAGUGCAUGCAGUCAGCUUCUGCCAGGUUCUCAUGAAGAAUAAUGGAUUUGACAGUCAUAAUGGGAGAGUAGAGAUGUCUAUGGAUAAUCACAAUUGUCCGUCAAAGACACCACUCGCACAAGCGCAUCCCUGGAGGCAGCAGCGCUAGUGUUAGGUAGGUCAGGACCGCUGCGGUAACGUCAGAACUCUGCAAACACCCCCAACGUUGGUAUAAGGGACAUGCUGUCAGGGCAAAGUCCUCAAAAUUUUUCAAUUUUCUAAUCUCCUUCCUCUUUACCUAGAAUGGACAAUGAUUUGUUGGUAGCCUUAAUGGGAUGUCCAAUCUAUGUCAUAUUCAAUCUUAAAUGAUUUAUUUAAAUUAUUCUUGGUCUACUUUUGCCUUAAGUUAAUGUAUCAGCAAUAGCAAGAAGCUAAUAUUCCUGUCCUUGAAAGGGAAGAAAUACUAUUCCAAUAGUUUAUACGUCUCUGACUUGAAGUACUGUUGUGGGUUUUAAUUGAAGAAGGUUUGAAUAUUUUAAAAAUAUGUUUAGAUUCAAGUAGUAGAAAAACUUUUCUUUCAGUUGGGUUGCGGAAUAGUCUUGUCUCUUGUAUAUUGAUUAAAUUUUAUGUUAUCAAUGAAUUGAUUUGAGAGAGAUUAUAAAUCCAAUCCAAGCACUAUGAUAGCUCGAGUGUGGACAGAGUUUUUAGGCAGGGGGAAUCUUCAUGGAGGAAGCAGAUGAUUCAUCUGGAUGUUAAAUGAUCAUUAGGAUCUCUACAGGUAGAAAUGUCGAUCGAUAGAGAAAAGAGUACAAGAAUAAAGAUGGGGAUGGGCAUGUUGUAUUCAAAGCAUGGUUGUAGUUCAAUGUGAUAUGGGCUUAAAGUUGUUUAUUUUGGAUUAUACUGAAAAAUAAGAGAGGCUGCUUGAAGCUAGAUCUUAGAAUUAUCUGAAUUUCUAUUCAGAAGAGUAACCAUUAUUAUGAAAUAGACACAGCUUCACAGCUUUGUGUAACAUCUUGGUGACUUUCCAAUUAGUUUAGAGAAACAUAACUGUUUGAACCUCCAGAUGUAUUAUUUAUUUAUCUGCCAAUGUGAUGA